rnacentral:piRNA from 1 species
UGCCAAGAUAAACUGUAGCCAGAGCGGCCCC